ACGAUAUUCUUAGAUGACGAUGAUCCAUGCAUGACUGAUUAAUAGUUCGUUUCUUAAUUAACGAAGGUGGGUGUGCCCGCGUUACUUAGCUUGGCAAAGGAUGAAAAAGUUUAUACAUGUGUGUGUGUCUAAGGGCAUUGCAAUUCCAUCGCACAUAUCAACCAAAGUAGGUAAACCAGAGAACCCUUUAAAAAAAAAAUAAAAAUAAAAAAAGGCUUUCUAUUAGCCCGGUAAAUGAAUUCGACGGAUGACUGUCAUGAUCGAUGAAUAGUUGGAGUUAGCAAUAAAAAAAAAAUGAACGAUAAGCGGCUAAUUUCACAUCAAAGGCUCCCGCGUUUCUAUACGGACCGAAACACCUGCCGAGGCACGUA
rnacentral:misc_RNA from 1 species